rnacentral:rRNA from 1 species
UGGGGAAUAUUGCACAAUGGGCGCAAGCCUGAUGCAGCCAUGCCGCGUGUGUGAAGAAGGCCUUCGGGUUGUAAAGCACUUUCAGCGAGGAGGAAGGUGGUGAACUUAAUACGUUCAUCAAUUGACGUUACUCGCAGAAGAAGCACCGGCUAACUCCGUGCCAGCAGCCGCGGUAAUACGGAGGGUGCAAGCGUUAAUCGGAAUUACUGGGCGUAAAGCGCACGCAGGCGGUUUGUUAAGUCAGAUGUGAAAUCCCCGGGCUCAACCUGGGAACUGCAUUUGAAACUGGCAAGCUAGAGUCUCGUAGAGGGGGGUAGAAUUCCAGGUGUAGCGGUGAAAUGCGUAGAGAUCUGGAGGAAUACCGGUGGCGAAGGCGGCCCCCUGGACGAAGACUGAUGCUCAGGUGCGAAAGCGUGGGGAGCAAAACAGGAUUAGAUACCCUGGUAGUCCACGCUGUAAACGAUGUCGAUUUGGAGGUUGUGCCCUUGAGGCGUGGCUUCCGGAGCUAACGCGUUAAAUCGACCGCCUGGGGGGUACGGCCGCAAGUUAAAACUCAAAGGAAUUGACGGGGUCAUAGCUGUUUCCU